UACGUAGGGUGCGAGCGUUGUCCGGAAUUACUGGGCGUAAAGAGCUCGUAGGUGGUUUGUCGCGUUGUUCGUGAAAACUCACAACUCAAUUGUGGGCGUGCGGGCGAUACGGGCAGACUGGAGUACUGCAGGGGAGACUGGAAUUCCUGGUGUAGCGGUGGAAUGCGCAGAUAUCUGGAGGAACACCGGUGGCGAAGGCGGAUCUCUGGGCCUGAUCUGACGCUGAGGCGCGAAAGCUAGGGGAGCGAACAGG
rnacentral:rRNA from 1 species